GGCGGGGUGCCAGAGCGGCCGAAUGGCGCGGUCUUGAAAACCGCUGGCGGCGAGAGCCGCCCGUGGGUUCGAAUCCCACCCCCGCCG
rnacentral:tRNA from 1 species